GGGGCUGAUUCUGGAUUCGACGGGAUUUGCGAAACCCAAGGUGCAUGCCGAGGGGCGGUUGGCCUCCGUAAAAAGCCGCAAAAAAAUAGUCGCAAACGACGAAACCUACGCUUUAGCAGCUUAAUAACCUGCUUAGAGCCCUCUCUCCCUAGCCUCCGCUCUUAGGACGGGGAUCAAGAGAGGUCAAACCCAAAAGAGAUCGCGUGGAUGCCCUGCCUGGGGUUGAAGCGUUAAAACGAAUCAGGCUAGUCUGGUAGUGGCGUGUCCGUCCGCAGGUGCCAGGCGAAUGUAAAGACUGACUAAGCAUGUAGUACCGAGGAUGUAGGAAUUUCGGACGCGGGUUCAACUCCCGCCAGCUCCACCA
rnacentral:tmRNA from 1 species